rnacentral:rRNA from 1 species
AUUGAACGCUGGCGGAAUGCUUUACACAUGCAAGUCGAACGGCAGCACGGACUUCGGUCUGGUGGCGAGUGGCGCACGGGUGAGUAAUGUAUCGGAACGUGCCAAGUCGUGGGGGAUAACGUAGUGAAAAUUACGCUAAUACCGCAUACGAUCUAUGGAUGAAAGCGGGGGAUCGCAAGACCUCGCGCGAUUGGAGCGGUCGAUAUCAGAUUAGGUAGUUGGUGGGGUAAAGGCCCACCAAGCCAACGAUCUGUUGCUGGUCUGAGAGGACGACCAGCCACACUGGAACUGAGACACGGUCCAGACUCCUACGGGAGGCAGCAGUGGGGAAUUUUGGACAAUGGGCGAAAGCCUGAUCCAGCCAUUCCGCGUGCAGGAUGAAGGCCCUCGGGUUGUAAACUGCUUUUGUACAGAACGAAAAGGUUUCUACUAAUACUAGGAGCUCAUGACGGUACUGUAAGAAUAAGCACCGGCUAACUACGUGCCAGCCGCCGCGGUAA